UACGUAGGGUGCGAGCGUUAGUCGGAAUUACUGGGCGUAAAGCGUGCGCAGGCGGUUUUGUAAGCCAGAUGUGAAAGCCCCGGGCUUAACCUGGGAAUGGCAUUUGGGACUGCAAGGCUCGAGUGCGGCAGAGGAGACUGGAAUUCCUGGUGUAGCAGUGAAAUGCGUAGAUAUCAGGAGGAAUACCGAUGGCGAAGGCAGGUCUCUGGGCUGACACUGACGCUCAUGCACGAAAGCGUGGGGAGCAAACAGG
rnacentral:rRNA from 1 species